GCGCCAAACUGGGCUGCUUUUGUGUCACGUGACUUCCGCUCUCUCUCUCUCUCUCUCCUUUCCGAAGAUUCAUGACCUGGCAACGCGUCCUCGUGCUCAAGAGACUGAGAUGCAAGAUCUCUUGAUGGAAACGUAGAUGAGGGUACACGGAACUAUCCGUCCUUGAGGAUGGCUUGCAGUGGAUGAUGGGAGUUGGCAACGAGGAUGGCUUGCAGUGGAUGAUGGGAGUUGGCAACGAGGAUGGCUUGCAGUGGAUGAUGGGAGUUGGCAACGAGGACAUGCAGCGGUUGGCCAGCAGGGGGCAGUGGUUGCAACGCCCAAAUGUUCAGCUGUCCUGAGUCCGACAGUACGGCGCCCCCUUGUGGAUGAGACUAGAAGCAACAUCCCUGCCUUGGAGUUUGGUUUCAUGUAGCAAUAAAACAUCUCAAAAUGGA